GAACGUCCUUUCUCUUUUCGGAGAGGGAGGGAGUGGCGGACGGGUGAGUAACACAUGGGUGACCUGGCCCGAAGUGAGGGAUACCGGCGAGAAAUUGCCGACAAGCCCGCAUAGGCUCUUUUCUGUGGUAGGGAGAGAGCAAAGCCCUGCAAAGGGUGCUUUGGGAUGGGCCUGUGGCCGAUUAGCUAGUUGGUGGGGUAAGAGCCUACCAAGGCAGCGAUCGGUAGCUGGUCUGAGAGGACGAUCAGCCACACUGGGAUUGAGAACGGCCCAGACUCCUACGGGGGGCAGCAGUGAGGAAUUUUCGGCAAUGGGGGCAACCCUGACCGAGCAACGCCGCGUGCAGGAGGACGCUUUUCGGAGUGUAAACUGCUUUUCUGUGGGACGAGUAUGGACGGUACCACAGGAAGAAGCCCCGGCUAACUACGUG
rnacentral:rRNA from 1 species